AACGAACGCUGGCGGCAGGCUUAACACAUGCAAGUCGAGCGCCCCGCAAGGGGAGCGGCAGACGGGUGAGUAACGCGUGGGAACGUACCCUUUACUACGGAAUAGCUCCGGGAAACUGGAAUUAAUACCGUAUGUGCCCUUCGGGGGAAAGAUUUAUCGGUAAAGGAUCGGCCCGCGUUGGAUUAGCUAGUUGGUGGGGUAAAGGCCUACCAAGGCGACGAUCCAUAGCUGGUCUGAGAGGAUGAUCAGCCACAUUGGGACUGAGACACGGCCCAAACUCCUACGGGAGGCAGCAGUGGGGAAUAUUGGACAAUGGGCGCAAGCCUGAUCCAGCCAUGCCGCGUGAGUGAUGAAGGCCUUAGGGUUGUAAAGCUCUUUCACCGAUGAAGAUAAUGACGGUAGUCGGAGAAGAAGCCCCGGCUAACUUCGUGCCAGCCGCCGCAGUAA
rnacentral:rRNA from 1 species